rnacentral:rRNA from 1 species
UGGGGAAUAUUGCACAAUGGAGGGAACUCUGAUGCAGCGACGCCGCGUGAGUGAUGAAGGAAUUCGUUUCGUAAAACUCUGUUCUAUGGGAAGAAAAGGACUGUACCAUAGGAGAAAGCUCCGGCUAAAUACGUGCCAGCAGCCGCGGUAAUACGUAUGAAGCGAGCGUUGUCCGGAAUUAUUGGGCGUAAAGGGUGCGCAGGCGGCUUUACAAGUUGGAUGUGAAAUAUUGUGGCUCAACCACAAACGUGCAUCCAAAACUGCAAAGCUUGAGUUAAGGAGAGGUAAGUGGAAUUCCUGGUGUAGCGGUGGAAUGCGUAGAUAUCAGGAGGAAUACCGGUGGCGAAGGCGACUUACUGGACUUAAACUGACGCUCAGGCACGAAAGCGUGGGGAGCAAACAGG